AAGAGAUUCACAGCUACCUGCCUGGAAAGGCAAUGCUUGCUUACUUUGACAAAAAUCCUGCACCAAGUUAAACACACAGGAGAGAAAAUGGGUGUGCCUCAAGAACAAUAUUGGCAUUGCAAAUACCAAAAGCGGAUUUGGAAAGCAGCUGAAGAUGAGAAAAGCUUCCCAAUAACCUUCAGAGAACCAUCCCUACUCCAGAGUACCUGCUCUCCUCAGGGUGAUGCUUGCCACAUUUAUGUGUGGGAUUACAUGAAACCUCUGACAAUGGCAAACCAGACAAAUGCUGUCCACUAGACACUGUCAAAGAUUAAACUUACUGAAAUCUUAUUGAGGUAUGAGUUGUUGGAAGAAUCAGUUUUUCCAUGCAUCAAGGACUUUAAAAUCUGACACAGGUAUUUGCAAGUUAGCAUACAGACUGAGGCUCUAAACCCAAGGCAGAAAAAUUACACUUUCCGUCCACCUGGCUUAGAUUCCAUCUUGGAGAGAAUCAACAUUUUGCUGAAGAAGGCCUAUAGCAACUAGACCUAACUUGAAUGUCAAUGUUAUUUUGAGCUGGAAAUCCAACUAGAUGACUUCUGCAGGUCCUUUUCAACCUAAAUUACCGUUUGAUUCUCUGACCCUGGAAAGAAGAGCACAUAGAA